rnacentral:sRNA from 1 species
ACGGUUCGUUGCGAGCGCAGCGAGAAAGCGUUGCCGCAGGCAACGACCCGAAGGGCGAAGCGCGCAGCGCUGAGUCAUCCUUCCCCCACCACCA